UUAAGUGACUAAGCGUACACGGUGGAUGCCUUGGCAGUCAGAGGCGAUGAAAGACGUAGUAACUUGCGAUAAGCCCAGAUUAGGUAGUAACAACCAUUUGAGUCUGGGAUUUCUGAAUGGGGAAACCCACGUGCAUAAGCACGUAUCCUUACCUGAAUACAUAGGGUAAGGAGGCGAACCGGGGGAACUGAAACAUCUAAGUACCCCGAGGAAAAGAAAUCAACCGAGAUUCCGAAAGUAGCGGCGAGCGAAAUUGGACUAGCCCUUAAGCUUUACACGCGUUAGACGAACGGUCUGGAAAGUCCGACGAUACAGGGUGAUAGUCCCGUAGUUGACGACGUGUGUUCAGUGAAAUCGAGUAGGGCGGGACACGUGAUAUCCUGUCUGAAUAUGGGGGGACCAUCCUCCAAGGCUAAAUACUACUGACUGACCGAUAGUGAACCAGUACCGUGAGGGAAAGGCGAAAAGAACCCCUGUGAGGGGAGUGAAAUAGAACCUGAAACCGUGUACGUACAAGCAGUAGGAGCAGGCUUUGUCCUGUGACUGCGUACCUUUUGUAUAAUGGGUCAGCGACUUAUAUUCAGUGGCAAGGUUAACCAUCUAGGGGAGCCGUAGGGAAACCGAGUCUUAACUGGGCGUUCAGUCUCUGGAUAUAGACCCGAAACCAGGUGAUCUAGCCAUGGGCAGGUUGAAGGUUGAGUAACAUCAACUGGAGGACCGAACCGACUAAUGUUGAAAAAUUAGCGGAUGACUUGUGGCUAGGGGUGAAAGGCCAAUCAAACCUGGAGAUAGCUGGUUCUCCCCGAAAGCUAUUUAGGUAGCGCCUCGGACGAAUACUACUGGGGGUAGAGCACUGUUAAGGCUAGGGGGUCAUCCCGACUUACCAACCCUUUGCAAACUCCGAAUACCAGUAAGUACUAUCCGGGAGACACACGGCGGGUGCUAACGUCCGUCGUGGAGAGGGAAACAACCCAGACCGCCAGCUAAGGUCCCAAAUUACUACUAAGUGGGAAACGAUGUGGGAAGGCUCAGACAGCCAGGAUGUUGGCUUAGAAGCAGCCAUCAUUUAAAGAAAGCGUAAUAGCUCACUGGUCGAGUCGGCCUGCGCGGAAGAUGUAACGGGGCUAAGUAGUAAACCGAAGCUGCGGCAAUAUACUUUUGUAUAUUGGGUAGGGGAGCGUUCUGUAAGCGGUUGAAGGUGUGUGGUAACGCAUGCUGGACGUAUCAGAAGUGCGAAUGCUGACAUGAGUAACGAUAAAGGGGGUGAAAAACCUCCUCGCCGGAAGACCAAGGGUUCCUGUCCAACGUUAAUCGGGGCAGGGUAAGUCGACCCCUAAGGCGAGGCCGAAAGGCGUAGUCGAUGGGAAACGGGUUAAUAUUCCCGUACUUCUUACAAUUGCGAUGGGGGGACGGAGAAGGCUAGGUGGGCCUGGCGACGGUUGUCCAGGUUCAAGUGCGUAGGCUUAAGAGUUAGGUAAAUCCGGCUCUUUUUAAGGCUGAGACACGACGUCGAGCAUCUACGGAUGUGAAGUCAUUGAUGCCAUGCUUCCAGGAAAAGCCUCUAAGCUUCAGAUUGUAAGGAAUCGUACCCCAAACCGACACAGGUGGUCGGGUAGAGAAUACCAAGGCGCUUGAGAGAACUCGGGUGAAGGAACUAGGCAAAAUGGUACCGUAACUUCGGGAGAAGGUACGCUCUUGAUGGUGAAGUCCCUCGCGGAUGGAGCUGACGAGAGUCGCAGAUACCAGGUGGCUGCAACUGUUUAUUAAAAACACAGCACUGUGCAAAAUCGUAAGAUGACGUAUACGGUGUGACGCCUGCCCGGUGCCGGAAGGUUAAUUGAUGGGGUUAGACUUCGGUCGAAGCUCUUGAUCGAAGCCCCGGUAAACGGCGGCCGUAACUAUAACGGUCCUAAGGUAGCGAAAUUCCUUGUCGGGUAAGUUCCGACCUGCACGAAUGGCGUAAUGAUGGCCACGCUGUCUCCACCCGAGACUCAGUGAAAUUGAAAUCGCUGUGAAGAUGCAGUGUACCCGCGGCUAGACGGAAAGACCCCGUGAACCUUUACUACAGCUUGGCACUGAACAUUGACCCUACAUGUGUAGGAUAGGUGGGAGGCUUUGAAGCACGUACGCCAGUAUGUGUGGAGCCGUCCUUGAAAUACCACCCUUGUAGUGUUGAUGUUCUAACGUCGACCCCUAAUCGGGGUUGCGGACAGUGCCUGGUGGGUAGUUUGACUGGGGCGGUCUCCUCCCAAAGAGUAACGGAGGAGCACGAAGGUGGGCUAAUCACGGUUGGACAUCGUGAGGUUAGUGCAAUGGCAUAAGCCCGCUUGACUGCGAGAAUGACAAUUCGAGCAGGUGCGAAAGCAGGUCAUAGUGAUCCGGUGGUUCUGAAUGGAAGGGCCAUCGCUCAACGGAUAAAAGGUACUCCGGGGAUAACAGGCUGAUACCGCCCAAGAGUUCAUAUCGACGGCGGUGUUUGGCACCUCGAUGUCGGCUCAUCACAUCCUGGGGCUGAAGUCGGUCCCAAGGGUAUGGCUGUUCGCCAUUUAAAGUGGUACGCGAGCUGGGUUUAGAACGUCGUGAGACAGUUCGGUCCCUAUCUGCCGUGGGCGUUGGAAGAUUGAAGGGGGCUGCUCCUAGUACGAGAGGACCGGAGUGGACGAACCUCUGGUGUUCGGGUUGUGUCGCCAGACGCAUUGCCCGGUAGCUAAGUUCGGAAUCGAUAACCGCUGAAAGCAUCUAAGCGGGAAGCGAGCCCUGAGAUGAGUCUUCCCUGAUACUUUAAGUAUCCUAAAGGGUUGUCGGAGACUACGACGUUGAUAGGUCAGGUGUGUAAGUGCUGUGAGGCAUUGAGCUAACUGAUACUAAUUGCCCGUGAGGCUUAACCAU
rnacentral:rRNA from 1 species